CUUAGUACGGCGAGUGAAGCGGCAAAAGCUCAAAUUUGAAAUCUGGUACCUUCGGUGCCCGAGUUGUAAUUUGGAGAGGGCAACUUUGGGGCCGUUCCUUGUCUAUGUUCCUUGGAACAGGACGUCAUAGAGGGUGAGAAUCCCGUGUGGCGAGGAGUGCGGUUCUUUGUAAAGUGCCUUCGAAGAGUCGAGUUGUUUGGGAAUGCAGCUCUAAGUGGGUGGUAAAUUCCAUCUAAAGCUAAAUAUUGGCGAGAGACCGAUAGCGAACAAGUACAGUGAUGGAAAGAUGAAAAGAACUUUGAAAAGAGAGUGAAAAAGUACGUGAAAUUGUUGAAAGGGAAGGGCAUUUGAUCAGACAUGGUGUUUUGUGCCCUCUGCUCCUUGUGGGUAGGGGAAUCUCGCAUUUCACUGGGCCAGCAUCAGUUUUGGUGGCAGGAUAAAUCCAUAGGAAUGUAGCUUGCCUCGGUAAGUAUUAUAGCCUGUGGGAAUACUGCCAGCUGGGACUGAGGACUGCGACGUAAGUCAAGGAUGCUGGCAUAAUGGUUAUAUGCCGCCCGUCUUGAAC
rnacentral:rRNA from 1 species